UACGUAGGGUGCAAGCGUUAAUCGGAAUUACUGGGCGUAAAGCGUGCGCAGGCGGUUGUGCAAGACCGAUGUGAAAUCCCCGGGCUCAACCUGGGAACUGCCUUUGUGACUGCAAGGCUUGAGUGUGGCAGAGGGGGAUGGAAUCCGCGUGUAGCAGUGAAAUGCGUAGAUAUGCGGAGGAACACCGAUGGCGAAGGCAAUCCCCUGGGCCUGCACUGACGCUCAUGCACGAAAGCGUGGGGAGCAAACAGG
rnacentral:rRNA from 1 species